CCUACGGGAGGCAGCAGUGAGGCAUAUUGGUCAAUGGACGAGAGUCUGAACCAGCCAAGUAGCGUGAAGGAUGACUGCCCUAUGGGUUGUAAACUUCUUUUAUAUGGGAAUAAAAUGUUCCACGUGUGGGAUUUUGUAUGUACCAUAUGAAUAAGGAUCGGCUAACUCCGUACCAGCAGCCGCGGUAAUACGGAGGAUCCGAGCGUUAUCCGGAUUUAUUGGGUUUAAAGGGAGCGUAGGUGGAUUGUUAAGUCAGUUGUGAAAGUUUGCGGCUCAACCGUAAAAUUGCAGUUGAAACUGGCAGUCUUGAGUACAGGAGAGGUGGGCGGAAUUCGUGGUGUAGCGGUGAAAUGCUUAGAUAUCACGAAGAACUCCGAUUGCGAAGGCAGUUCACUGGACUGCAACUGACACUGAGGCUCGAAAGUGUGGGUAUCAAACAGGAUUAGAUACCCGGGUAGUC
rnacentral:rRNA from 1 species